rnacentral:rRNA from 1 species
GUGGGGAAUCUUCCACAAUGGACGAAAGUCUGAUGGAGCAACGCCGCGUGAGUGAAGAAGGGUUUCGGCUCGUAAAGCUCUGUUGUCGGGGACGAAUGUGCAGUAUUUGAAUAAAGUAUUGCAAUGACGGUACCUGACGAGGAAGCCACGGCUAACUACGUGCCAGCAGCCGCGGUAAUACGUAGGUGGCAAGCGUUGUCCGGAAUUAUUGGGCGUAAAGGGAGCGCAGGCGGGAAGGUAAGUCGGUCUUAAAAGUGCGGGGCUCAACCCCGUGAUGGGAUCGAAACUAUCUUUCUUGAGUGCGGAGAGGAAAGUGGAAUUCCUAGUGUAGCGGUGAAAUGCGUAGAUAUUAGGAGGAACACCAGUGGCGAAGGCGACUUGCUGGCCAGCAACUGACGCUGAGGCGCGAAAGCCAGGGGAGCAAACGGGAUUAGAAACCCCGGUAGUCC